rnacentral:rRNA from 1 species
AUGGCGAUCGAGACGGAGCCCGCCGCACCGCCCGGCCUCUUGGGCCCUCUGGUAGUGCACAGCGCGCGCCCGCCCGCCGACUCAGCCGCCGACCCCGCGUCGCACCCCUUCCUCGACCUCCUCGACGCGGCCUUCAACGCGCCGUCGGACGCGGAGAUCAAGGCGGCGCCUGCGCUGACGCUGACGCCGUGGAGGGCGCUCACGGAGAACUGCUCGCCCACGUACGCCAACUCGGGCAACCCCUGCGUCGACUUCUUCUUCCAGGUGGUGCCCGACACGCCAGCCGAGCGCGUGCGCGGCCUGCUCGCCGCCGCCUGGGCCCACGACGCGCUCACGGCGCUCAAGCUCGCCUGCAACCUCCGCGGCGUCCGCGGCACCGGCAAGUCGGACAAGGAGGGCUUCUACGCCGCCGCGCUCUGGAUGCACGAGCACCACCCCCGGACGCUCGCCUGCAACGUCGCCGCGCUCGCCGAGUUCGGCUACCUCAAGGACUUCCCCGAGCUGCUCUUCCGCCUCAUCCACGGCCCCGACGUGCGCAAGGUCGCCAAGGCGGCCGCCGAGGCCGAGAAGGCGCGGAAGAAGGAGAAGGCGCUCGGCGGGCGGCCCUCCGCGCCAGGCUGGCCAGCCGGCGGAGAAAGAGAAGGUUUGUCUGCGUGGACGAAGACGAACUGGACUUCUGUUCCACUGCCACCGCUGCCACCAAGGCCACCUUCGGCGAUUUCCUUGCCGCUGCGCUCUACAACCGGACUUUCAGAUCCCGGGUGUCUAGACACCCCGUUAUCUGGACCGUUCGUCCAGUCUGGCUGCGUUGAGAUUUGUGCCAAGCUAUCUAACCAAUGA